GACGAAGGAUCCAAGCGUUAUCCGGAUUUAUUGGGUUUAAAGGGUGCGUAGGCGGAUUGAUAAGUCAGUGGUGAAAGCCUGUUGCUUAGCAACAGAACUGCCAUUGAUACUGUCAAUCUUGAAUAUGUUUGAUGUGGGCGGAAUAUGACAUGUAGCGGUGAAAUGCUUAGAUAUGUCAUAGAACACCGAUUGCGUAGGCAGCUUACUAGGCUGUAACUGACGCUGAGGCACGAAAGCGUGGGGAGCGAACAGG
rnacentral:rRNA from 1 species